UUUUAGAAUUCCGCUUAGAAAUCUUUUUUAAAUAAAUCGAGCCGUUCAGGAGUGCGGGAUUUGGUGUUCGCUCGAUUCCGCCCCCUUCUCCUUCCUCGAGCUCCGGUCGACACGCGGUGGCAAUCAGCAGCCCCAGGAUGAUGUUGUUAUUAAAACCUUACAAUGGACAAAGACCUGUGGAGAGUUGCUGCUUCAGAAGUGCACUGCAGCAUUGGCCUUGGAGGUGUUCAUGAGGAGCUAGCAGCAGAUAUCUCCACCCACGUGGAGCAAAAAUUUAUGGACUACUCAAGAAACAUAACCUAAAAAAUGCGAGGAUUGAAGAAAGAAAAGAAGCUGAAGGGGAACAGUAUUAUAUUACACAUGGCAUUGUGAUGUUGUGGAUGAUGUUCUCAGUCAGAUGGAGUAGUGGAGCAGAGUCAACAUGAUAAUCAUCUGGCAUGUGUGUCUGCAGAAUUUUUUUCAUCAAGAUGUCCUCAUGGGAGGAUAGGAAGUGCGCUGAAGUACUGUUGGACUGCAUUAUGUGAACCUUCGCUACUCUGUAUAUGAUUUGUCUUCUCGGUGAGUGAAAAUUUCUGGCUGCUGUGAUUGUAUUAGUAGACUUGCAUGCCUUGUUCACUGGGUAUUUGGAAUCUGCUUUUUAAGGUGAUCUGUGUCAGUUGAUUUGAAUAAAACAUUGUUCACUUCCUCUUUAUCUUUUCGAAAGUUAUAGUGGAACAGGUAUCUAUGAACUCAUCAAUGACGAGAGUUAUAUUACUGAAGUCAAAUGUUUGGAGAGUUCAAAAGGACGAGCUUGGUGAUUCUGCUUCUACUUGUUAACAACUGAUUGCUUAAUUCUGAAGGUACUUAGAAGCAUAUGAUUUAACUGUUGCUUUUCUUGCAUCAAAUUGGAAAGUCUCUUUAUUGAAAAAGUUGAAGGAGCCAAAUAUCAUAAGAUUGGAGUGAGAUCACAGAGUAUUGAGUGGUGCUGAAGGCCAUUCAAUUAGAGCAUGCCAAGGCUUAUGGAGAUGAUGAGAACCCAUGUUGAGCAUUGAGUGCUUUGCAAAAAUUCCAACAGCUUCCUCUUUUAAAAGGAAAUGGAAUCUGACUUUAACCCCAAGUCAAGGAAGAUGACUGUAUGAGAGGGCUAAAGCUUAAGGAUAAAGCUGGUUCCUUCCUUGCUUUCUCCCUUUAACCACAGGGCAGUAAUUCUUCUCUUUUUUUUUCGCUUUUUUCCAAUAAGAUUUAUAACAUGUGUUCAUAAGUUGCUCAAUCAAAAUUAAAUGUUUAAAGCGCAGUAAGUGCAUGAUUGGACGUUGUUAGAUCACUAAUCUAACCUAUUUUGGGGGAAAACACUAAAGGAACUUGAGAUUCUCUUUUAGCUUCAAUUAUGUGGGAGUCAUCAUUGUUCUUUGUCAUCUUUGUUCUUUGCAUGCAGACUUGCAGCUGGCAAUGAGGGUAGGGACUGCUGAAAUUACUUCUGAGCUUUCAUUUCCUAUAAUGCAAGAUGCUCUGGCUUAGUUACCAUCCAGGUGGAACAAUUACCUUGUUGACUUUGGUGACUUGAAGGGACUGCAGCUUUUACCCACGAUCUUGGUUUGGAUACGACACCCAUACAGAAAAUAGAAAAUAUCAGCUCUUUUUAUUUUGGCCGAGAAAAAUAGAUAACCCUGUUAUAUUGAUUUAUAUGAUAUCAAAAAUAUAAUCCAAUAUUUUCCAAUCAAAUUGUAAUUCAUUGAUUUGAUA